rnacentral:rRNA from 1 species
CCGUGGAAACUGCGAAUGGCUCAUUAAAUCAGUUAUCGUUUAUUUGAUAGUACCUUACUACUUGGAUAACCGUGGUAAUUCUAGAGCUAAUACAUGCUAAAAACCCCGACUUCGGGAGGGGUGUAUUUAUUAGAUAAAAAACCAAUGCCCUUCGGGGCUCCUUGGUGAUUCAUGAUAACUUAACGGAUCGCAUGGCCUUGCGCCGGCGACGGUUCAUUCAAAUUUCUGCCCUAUCAACUUUCGAUUGUAGGGUAUUGGCCUACAAUGGUUUCAACGGGUAACGGGGAGUUAGGGCUCGACUCCGGAGAGGGAGCCUGAGAAACGGCUACCACAUCCAAGGAAGGCAGCAGGCGCGCAAAUUACCCAAUCCCGACACGGGGAGGUAGUGACAAUAAAUACUGAUACAGGGCUCUUUUGGGUCUUGUAAUUGGAAUGAGUACAAUUUAAAUACCUUAACGAGGAACAAUUGGAGGGCAAGUCUGGUGCCAGCAGCCGCGGUAAUUCCAGCUCCAAUAGCGUAUAUUAAAGUUGUUGCAGUUAAAAAGCUCGUAGUUGAACCUUGGGCCUGGCUGGCCGGUCCGCCUCACCGCGUGCACUGGUCCGGCCGGGCCUUUCCUUCUGGAGAGCCGCAUGCCCUUCACUGGGUGUGUCGGGGAACCAGGACUUUUACUUUGAGAAAAUUAGAGUGUUCAAAGCAGGCCUUUGCUCGAAUACGUUAGCAUGGAAUAAUAGAAUAGGACGUGCGGUCCUAUUUUGUUGGUUUCUAGGACCGCCGUAAUGAUUAAUAGGGAUAGUCGGGGGCAUCAGUAUUCAAUUGUCAGAGGUGAAAUUCUUGGAUUUAUUGAAGACUAACUACUGCGAAAGCAUUUGCCAAGGAUGUUUUCAUUAAUCAGUGAACGAAAGUUAGGGGAUCGAAGACGAUCAGAUACCGUCGUAGUCUUAACCGUAAACUAUGCCGACUAGGGAUCGGGCGAUGUUAUUAUUUUGACUCGCUCGGCACCUUACGAGAAAUCAAAGUUUU